AUCCCGCUCAGAUGGUAGAGUGGAGGACUGUAGUGAUUAUGAGAAACUAUUAUUCUUAGGUCAAUGGUUCAAAUCCGGUUCGCGGGAUC
rnacentral:tRNA from 1 species